rnacentral:rRNA from 1 species
GUGAGGAAUAUUGCGCAAUGGAGGCAACUCUGACGCAGCCAUGCCGCGUGCAGGAAGAAGGCGCUACGCGUUGUAAACUGCUUUUAACCGGGAAGAAACCCCAGGACGUGUCCUGGGUUGACGGUACCGGAGGAAUAAGCACCGGCUAACUUCGUGCCAGCAGCCGCGGUAAUACGAAGGGUGCAAGCGUUAUCCGGAUUCAUGGGGUUUAAAGGGUGCGUAGGCGGAGCGUUAAGUCAGUGGUGAAAUCCUGCAGCUUAACUGUAGACUUGCCAUUGAUACUGGCGCUCUUGAGUGCGCUUGAAGUGGGCGGAAUGUGCCGUGUAGCGGUGAAAUGCUUAGAUAUGGCACAGAACACCAAUUGCGAAGGCAGCUCACUAAGGCGAUACUGACGCUGAGGCACGAAAGCGUGGGGAUCGAACAGGAUUAGAAACCCGAGUAGUCC